UGGAUACUACGUCGUGCACUUUGUCUGC
rnacentral:sRNA from 1 species